rnacentral:rRNA from 1 species
GACGAACGCUGGCGGCGUGCUUAACACAUGCAAGUCGAACGGAAAGACCCUGCUUUUGUGGGGUGCUCGAGUGGCGAAAGGGUGAGUAACACGUGAGUAACCUGCCCUUGACUUUGGGAUAACUUCAGGAAACUGGGGCUAAUACCGGAUAGGAGCUCCUGCUGCAUGGUGGGGGUUGGAAAGUUUCGGCGGUUGGGGAUGGACUCGCGGCUUAUCAGCUUGUUGGUGGGGUAGUGGCUUACCAAGGCUUUGACGGGUAGCCGGCCUGAGAGGGUGAGCGGCCACAUUGGGACUGAGCUACGGCCCAGACCCCUACGGGAGGCAGCAGUGGGGAAUAUUGCACAAUGGGCGGAAGCCUGAUGCAGCACCGCCGCGUGCGGGAUGACGGCCUUCGGGUUGUAAACCGCUUUCGCCUGUGACGAAGCGUGAGUGACGGUAAUGGGUAAAGAAGCACCGGCUAACUACGUG